AUGGAUUUGGGGCCACGUGGAGACACGAUUCAUUCUCCUGCUAAAAUCCUAAGACCUUCUCCAAGGAAAUUUUCGGGAAUGAGCAUGGACUUGAUGUCAGAAGACCUAUGUGCCAUCUCAGCCUGCUCCUUGCUGGCUAGUAUGAUGGUGCUGCUUGGAGUCAAGGAAGAGCUGGGUUCUGAGAUGCUAGCUCAGGAUUCUGGGAGCAAGGAAGCAGAUGGCACCUGGAGGUGGUGGCCAGAGCAAAAUUCCCCGGAUGAGAGAGAGAGAGUUUGGAAUUGUUUAAAGAGCAAGAGACUGGAGAGAAAAAAUGGACCCCAGGAAUGGAGCUGCAGGGACCCUGGAAAAAGGGGACGCCAUCACGCCACUGUCGAGUUCUGUCAACUGUCAAGUUAA
rnacentral:lncRNA from 1 species